rnacentral:sRNA from 1 species
UAAGUGGGAGCUUCGGCGCAA